CCCUUAUUCCUGCCCAGUACCCCCAUUGCUCCACAACCUAGGGGAUGGGGGAUAUUGGGGCUGUGAGCUUCCUCAGAGCAGUGCCCUGGACAGAGCUAUCUGGGGCUAUGAGCUUCCUCGGAGUGGUGCAUGGGGUGAGGGGGCACUAUCUCCCCUGAGGCACCCAGCCCAUAACCCCAUAUUACCCCCCAUAACCCCUUAUUACCCCUGCAACUCCACACCCUGCCCCUGGUUCCCCUCUUUCCCCUGGGGUGCAGGGGGGCUCCAUGCUCACCUGUCAUCUCUGACCCCUCCCCUCCUGCUGCUCAGUUUGCAGGGAUGGUGCCGUUGGGACGACUCGGGGACCCCAAAGAGGUUGCUGAUGUCUGCGUCUUCCUGGCCUCAGAGGAGAGUCGCUACAUAACAGGGGCCAGUGUGGAGGUNACAGGGGGUCUCUUUCUCUGAUGGAUCUGCCCCCGGUCUCUGGACACACGCCCACUGCUGGGGGAAGCAGCGGUUGCCAAGUGCCUCUGUGAGCUGCCCCCGGGAAGCCCCUGGCCCUGCAGGAUCUGGGGAGCGGAGCUGAGCUGGAGGGGUCCGGGGCAGCGUAUUAAAAUAAAACACUGAUUGUACCAGGCUGAUUCCGUCUC
rnacentral:lncRNA from 1 species